GAUGAACGCUGACAGAAUGCUUAACACAUCAGCAAUUGAUUGGUGGCGGACGGGUGAGUAACGCGUAAAGAACUUGCCUCACAGGUAGGGACAACAUUUGGAAACGAAUGCUAAUACCUAAUACUGUGAGAGAGCUUUGCGUCCCAUUAGCUAGUUGGAGAGGUAACGGCUCACGAAGGCGAUGAUGGGUAGCCGGCCUGAGAGGGUGAUCGGCCACAAGGGGACUUGGACACGAGCCUUACUCCUUCGGGAGGCAGCAGUGGGGGAUAUUGGACGAUGGGCCAAAGUCUGAUCCAGCAAUUCUGUGUGCAAAAUGAAGUUUUCUGAAUGUAAAGUGCUUUCAGAUGGGAAGCGGUACCGACAGAAGAAGUGACGGCUAAAUACGUGCCAGCCGCCGCGGUAAUAC
rnacentral:rRNA from 1 species